AUCAAGGAGAAGGACAUUGUCAUCUUCAUUAGAUUGUUUAUAUUCAGCUUGGUGUCAGACUACUGUGGUGGACAUUCUUGGGGAAGGUGAUUUGCCACACCACCAGGAACUACAUCUCAUCGUGACUCUGGCCCGCAUCCCACUGAGCAACCCCAACUCCUCAUGGGAGUUCAUGGAAGCCACGGCCACCCAGCAUUGCCACAGCAAGAAGGCUCAGGAGGUGCAUAACUGAUCUGCAGAUGAACCCAGCACCUACUC
rnacentral:lncRNA from 1 species